rnacentral:rRNA from 1 species
UACGAAGGGGGCUAGCGUUGUUCGGAAUUACUGGGCGUAAAGGGUUUGUAGGCGGUUAUAUAAGUCAGAUGUGAAAGCCCGGGGCUUAACCCCGGAAUUGCAUUUGAAACUGUAUAGCUUGAGAGUGUUAGAGGAAAGUGGAAUUCCUAGUGUAGGAGUGAAAUCCGUAGAGAUUAGGAGGAAUAUCGAUGGCGAAGGCAGCUUUCUGGGACAUUUCUGACGCUGAGAAACGAAAGCGUGGGUAGCAAACAGGG